GCCAAUUUGAUAGGAAGUACAGUGUUCUGAGCUGCCAAAGCCGUGCUCGAUCCAGCCAAUGAGAUGUACUUUAACUACAGAAGUGAAGGAGACAGACACAGCACUGGGACCCACGGAAGCUCAGCAAACAUGGCCGACACACAGACCUGGGAGUCAAAAUGUCAGAAGGAUCAUGAAGCGCUGGAGAUGAGGGAUGUCAGACACAGAAGAGCCUCAGUGAGACGACUAGGGAGACUUGUGGGAAGAGAGCCUUUAAUUUGCAAGGGUCGCAAUUGUUGUGAAUUUAACUUUCUCACCGACGUACAAGAAUGGAAUUGAC
rnacentral:lncRNA from 1 species